rnacentral:tRNA from 1 species
GGUCUCGUAGUUCAGUUGGAUAGAACGCAGGUUUCCUAAACCUGAUGUCGCAGGUUCGAGUCCUGCCGAGACCG